AUUGAACGCUGGCGGCAUGCCUUACACAUGCAAGUCGAACGGCAGCACGGGAGCAAUCCUGGUGGCGAGUGGCGAACGGGUGAGUAAUAUAUCGGAACGUGCCCAGUCGUGGGGAUAACGUAGCGAAAGCUACGCUAAUACCGCAUACGAUCUACGGAUGAAAGCGGGGGAUCGCAAGACCUCGCGCGAUUGGAGCGGCCGAUAUCAGAUUAGGUAGUUGGUGAGGUAAAGGCUCACCAAGCCGACGAUCUGUAGCUGGUCUGAGAGGACGACCAGCCACACUGGGACUGAGACACGGCCCAGACUCCUACGGGAGGCAGCAGUGGGGAAUUUUGGACAAUGGGCGCAAGCCUGAUCCAGCAAUGCCGCGUGCAGGAUGAAGG
rnacentral:rRNA from 1 species